CGAGCACCUGUUCCGUGCUUCGGUCAAACAGCCUCUGCUCUGCUCCGCCAAACGGGUCCCCUUAGACAGCUGACGACAUCCGGCGGGCUCCCUCUCCUCUGUGGGCCGGCGACGCUCCCAGGACCUGUGUGAAAUACGUCUUGCCGGAUUGGAAUAUCCGCUUUAAGACACACUAAAACCUAUGCUGACAUGGCUGCUUUAAAGUUAUCCAAUUUAGACUUCAUAAUUACCUCUUCUGCCAGCACCAAGUCUGCUUCGCUUGAAGCUUUCCGUUACAUGAGAAGCAUCAGCCCUCCGCUGGAGCCUGUGGCACCGAUGACUCAUUGAGGAUCCGGACCUCCACAAAGCCUCUUGGUUUAUCGGCAGCAUCACUCUUCUUUUUUUGAUUUGCUAUCAGCAGAUUCACUGUCGGAUAAAGAUUUUUCUCUUUGUACUAUC